CACAUGCAGUCGAACGGCAGCACGGGAGCAAUCCUGGUGGCGAGUGGCGAACGGGUGAGUAAUAUAUCGGAACGUGCCCAAUCGUGGGGGAUAACGCAGCGAAAGCUGUGCUAAUACCGCAUACGAUCUAAGGAUGAAAGCGGGGGAUCGCAAGACCUCGCGCGAAUGGAGCGGCCGAUAUCAGAUUAGCUAGUUGGUGGGGUAAAAGCUCACCAAGGCGACGAUCUGUAGCUGGUCUGAGAGGACGACCAGCCACACUGGAACUGAGACACGGUCCAGACUCCUACGGGAGGCAGCAGUGGGGAAUUUUGGACAAUGGGCGCAAGCCUGAUCCAGCAAUGCCGCGUGCAGGAUGAAGGCCUUCGGGUUGUAAACUGCUUUUGUACGGAGCGAAAAGGUUCUUUCUAAUAAAGAGGGCUCAUGACGGUACCGUAAGAAUAAGCACCGGCUAACUACGUGCCAGCAGCCGCGGUAAUACGUAGGGUGCGAGCGUUAAUCGGAAUUACUGGGCGUAAAGCGUGCGCAGGCGGUUAUAUAAGACAGAUGUGAAAUCCCCGGGCUCAACCUGGGCACUGCAUUUGUGACUGUAUAGCUAGAGUACGGCAGAGGGGGAUGGAAUUCCGCGUGUAGCAGUGAAAUGCGUAGAUAUGCGGAGGAACACCGAUGGCGAAGGCAAUCCCCUGGGCCUGUACUGACGCUCAUGCACGAAAGCGUGGGGAGCAAACAGGAUUAGAUACCCUGGUAGUCCACGCCCUAAACGAUGUCAACUGGUUGUUGGGUCUUUGCUGACUCAGUAACGAAGCUAACGCGUGAAGUGACC
rnacentral:rRNA from 1 species